rnacentral:rRNA from 1 species
UACGUAGGACGCGAGCGUUGUCCGGAAUUAUUGGGCGUAAAGAGCUCGUAGGUGGUUUGUUGCGUCUGCCGUGAAAACCCGAGGCUUAACCUCGUGGCUUGCGGUGGAUACGGGCAGACUUGAGGUAGGUAGGGGAGAAUGGAAUUCCCGGUGUAGCGGCGAAAUGCGCAGAUAUCGGGAGGAACACCGGUGGCGAAGGCGGUUCUCUGGGCCUUACCUGACGCUGAGGAGCGAAAGCGUGGGGAGCGAACAGG